AUGUCAAGCCCUGGAUGGGGUCAGCCUUCAUCCCACCAGCUGAAUCCAGUGAUUUCCCUGCCCAGGGUUACUGCUGGGGGUGGGAGGGCUGGCACGGUGAGCACGGCACAGAGCAGGCUGGUGGUGCUGGGAAGAUCAGGAUUGAAUGGGUGCAGAAUCCCUUCCCCAUGCGAUGGAGAAUCACCCCAUCCUCUGUGGCGGGCACACCGAUCCCUCAGAGGCACCACGGUUUGUCGAGGAAGAAUCUGCUGGGAUUUUGGAGCAGGGAAUGCUUUGGUGAAGAAGUUUCAGCAGCAUGGCCUUGGCUGGAUGAUCCUGCACCUCCCAGGCAGGGCAGGUGCUCCUGCAGCACUCCUGGAGCUGGAGAAGUGCGGGAUCACACCGCCAGUGUUCCCGGCGCUUGGGACGCGCCUCCAGACCAUUCCUGACAGCCAUCAGCCACGUCCCACCAUCCAGCCCGGCACAGCGAGUCUCCAGCUCCCUCUAAUGUUUCUGGCCCGAAAGGAGCAUCCGCAAGCAGGACAGGCCUGGGCAGGGAGCGGGCGGGCGGCCAGGCUGCACGGCCCCGAGGGAAAAGCGUGACGCGGAACGGCGAGGAAGCAGCUGGGCCAGAAAGGGGGGAGUGAUGUGCCGAGCAAAUGGUGUUAAAGAGUAAAGGAUGCAGUGUUUUAAGAGAGAAUAUAGUUGUACUGAAUGCCUAGUUAUUAUUAAUAAAUGAAAGAUUUCACGGGAAAAGGACUGUUCCUCCGAAAAAUACUAUUUCUGAUAUUCUAAAUAGAUACUCUAAAAUGCUGUGUUUCCAGCCCUGGAAAUGUUCAAAAAACAUGUGGUGACAUGGUUUAGUGGUGAACAUGGUGGUGGUGCUGGGGUAACAGUUGGACUUGAUCUUAGAAGUGAUCCUAUAUUAAUGAUUCUAUGGUUCUCUGAUUCUAAAGGCUCCUACUCAUUCCUGCCUGCACUGGGACUGUUAGGACGAGAGCUGUGCAUAGGAGUUUCCCAAACUUGUCCAUGUGAAAUGCAGCUUUAAAAAUGCAGCAAGAAGCCUGAGCACAGAAUGCAGCAGAAAUGGGUAUUGAUAACACAAUGCAAAGCCAGGUUGGAAACUCUCAAUCAAAAUCACUGCUGUGUCUGGCCAUAGUGGUUCACGGGGUGAUCCCAGAGCUGUGUGAGAGUCUGGAAGCAUUGAAUCCACACAAACAGCACAGAAUCCACACAAACAGCACAGUCCCUGCGUGCUACAGAAGCUGUAACACCAAGGCACAGGAAGCAGAAGGGGCAGCCAGGCCAUCUCCCCUCUGACACAUCGACUGACAGACCACACGCCUGCUCCUGACUCUGUGUGUGUGCAGCACAGAUCAGGGGAUGGAUAACAGAGAGAGGGGGAAUGUAAUUACCCUGCAAAGAAUAAAUCACUUUAACGGUUCAGUUACUGAGAUCACAGCGAGGCAGUGGCACAGCCUCUUAAUUAAUCUUCUGCUUUGCAGCUGGCUCCUGCCCCCGCGCCAUCUCCACCUCGCGCUGCCUGGCGACGAGAUGCCAUCGGCGGGGACAACACUGGCCGGUGGUUUCUGGCCGAGCAGGUCCAGCAGGGCAUGACCAGGUGAGGGAUCAGGGUGCCGUGGCUCCUGGGUUUGUGUACGGUAACACCUGUGGUGGGCCUGGUAAUGUGGUGUCCUGUGAUUCUCCAGGCCUGUGUCAGCAGCACCCAGUAACUCCGAGAUGAUUAUUAUGAGGAAUUGCUGGGCAUGAAGCAGGGCCCUGGGGAUGCUGGAGGCCUGGGACUGCUGCAGAGGAAUGGCUGGUGUGUGAGAUCAUGAAGGGAGAACCCCCACUUCACCUUCACCUCCACAUGGCCCAAACCUCUCUGACUCCUCACUGACCCCCUUCAUCCCCUUAACUCCCAAACUCUUCUUUGUGAAUUGCACCCCCAUUUCUCAUCCCUUCACAAACUGCUCUCUGGGCUCCCUCAUCCUCCUCAGAAUAAUCCCUUUCACAGUAUGCUCCCCUUAUGCCUCAAAAUUGCACCUCAGGGAUUGCUCCUCUUUGUCCCCUUCAUGUUUCUCCUCUGGGAAUCGCCAUUAUCUCCCAGACUGGUUCUCAGGGAUUGCUUCUGUCACUCCCCCUCAUUGCUCUUCAGGGAAUCUCUCCCUUUUCCUUGCUGCUUGGAGAUGGCCCCUUUCACGCCAGGGAUGUGCUCUCAUCCUCCUCAGGGAUCGCCCCCUCAUCCCCAAAACUGCUCCUCAAGGAUUGCUCCUCUUGCUGCCCCCUCAAUGCUGCUUCUCAGAGAAAUGGUCCCUUACCCUCAAAACUGUCCCUCAGGUUUGGCCCCUCAUGAUCUUCAGGGAUCAUCCCUUUACUGUCCCUCAGGGAUCACCCCCUCAUGCCCAAAACUGUCUCUCAGGGACUGAACCUCACCUCCUCAAGGGUUGCCCCCUUUGUCCUGCAAACUGCCCCUGAGGGACAGUUCCCAUCCUUUUCAGGGAUCAGCCCUUCAGGGAUCAUCCCUAAGGACUCGUCCCCUCAUCCCCCAAACUGUCCCCAGGGAUCGCCACCAAAAUUGCCCCUCUCACUCCUCCACAUUGGUUAAUCAGGGUCGCAUCCUCACUUGUCCCAAAACUGCCCUUCAGGGAUUGCUCCCAUAUGUUGCUCGUCAGGGAAAUGCCCCCUUACGCUCAGAAAUGCCCCUCAGGGAUCGCCCCUCUGCCUCCUCAGGGAUCGCCCCCUCAUCUCCAAAACUGCCUUUCAGGGAUGGUCCCUCAUCCUCCUCAAGGAUCGCUCCCCAAGGAAUCACCCC
ensembl:lncRNA